GGUGUAGCUUGUUGUGCAGUUCCUAUGGAGAUGGGGGAAUACUGACCCUCUUCCAACGCAGCAGUAAUUCCAGCCUUCAUUGCAGAUCUCCAGCGGCUUGUUCAGAAGGAAAAGCAAGACGUAUCCUCUCUGGAGGGGGCUCUAACAAAGCUGGUGUAAUCAAGUAUCACUAAUGCGAUGAUGACCACAGCUUACGUAACACCAAGUCCCCACACUGUUAAACAAUGGCAACUAGAGAGUUUAGGACUCCUUGCAGAAAACACAGUGAAGUCCAUCAGAGUGUCUUCCAGUAAAAUCCAGACCACUGGGAGCUUGAACACAAGGUUCAGCACUUGGACACCUAUCGCAAACAAAUCAUUCAACAAGCAGCUCUUUGAGGAAAGAGUUAGUCUCAUAAGCCAUUGGUUUGAUCUGUGGACAGACAAGCAGCGCAAACAAUUCCUCCACACAAUGUUGAUGAGAUGCAGUAAAUCACAACUGAAAUUUACCCAAAACUGGUUUGCAGAGAGGAUUCCAGUGACCAAAGUGGAUUUCACCAGAGUGCUGCCACGUUUCAUAUCUUUAUACAUCUUCUCCUUUCUCAGCCCCAGGGAGCUGUGUGCAGCUGCCCAAGUCAGCUGGCACUGGAAGUUUAUAACCGAACAGGACUGUUUGUGGGUGCCAAAAUGUGUUAAGUUUGGAUGGUUCCUGCCCUACACUCCAGCAGACAACGAAUACAGUGCUUGGAAGCGACAUUAUAUUGCCUGUGCAUCGAGCUUAGAUUACUUCACCCCAAGAGAAGCCACUGAAAUCUAUGGGACCCUCAAUGAACCAAAACCUGAAAAUGAGGAGAAGGAAGAAAGGCUACGCGAAAAAUGGCUACGAAAAAUUAUUCGGGAGAGAUUAACAUUACACAAGAAGGAGUUAUUCAAAGCUCGACUACCUUGGAUGAGUGGGACUUGGAGCCCGAGAUUCUUAAAAUCGCGAUUACAGCCAAGUCAGGCGCAGACGAUCCAGGACGGGGCUAGACUACAGGCAAUUUUGCAACUAAUUAAGGAAAAGAAUGCUCUUUCAAUGCUGCUUUCUGAAGAAAUGAAACCUGUAUCAAACUUUAAUCUAGCAGCAGAAAAACAGCUUGUUUUGGCCUCCUUAAAAACUUUGCCCAAAAGAAAGAAUGUGACUGGAAGCAGAUCUGACCCUGUGUUACCUUACAAACACUGUCAGCGUGUCUACCAAAAACAUAGCAGUUUUGCAUAUCCACUUGAGCCAUACCUGGUUUUGAUAUCAUCCAGGAUUCCUGCAUAUGAGAUGGUGCUGGACAGCAUCAAACCUGGGGUGAUUUCUGUGUUGUAUGAACAUUGCGGAAUGACAUUGGAAAGCCUCCUUUUUUACAUAGAAAAGGCUCUGGAUGGCCGAAAAGCAAAGAGUAUAGGGAUUUUUAGUGAUGGAAACUCCAGAGAGAUCAAUUUACUUCAAGGCUGCAGAAUCAGUAUUGAGAACAUUCUGAGUCCUGAAGUGAGAGAAUUUUGGGAGAAGCUAGGUUGUGUAAUGUCUCCAGAGGAAGGUGGUUAUGUGGACAUCUUUGUUCCUCUGGCAGCAUCAGAGGCAGGGAUAGAAGUCCUUUCCCAGCUGACUCAGCUAACUGGUGUGCUCUUCAGAACCCCCACAGGAAUUGCAACUGGAUCUUAUCAGCACAUCCUUAGUGAAUGGCUGGGAAAACAGAAGGAUGGACCUCCCACCUCCACCUACUUCACUGAAGUAAAACUACAGACAUGGCUCAGAAUGACAGAGCUCCUGGAAGAUGCACUGAAAUCUGUCCGGAAGCAGAUGCGACCAUAUUUAAGUGAGCUGCAGAAGAGUAUUAGUGACAGGAUUACUGGUCAGUUUAUGUUUGAUGCUAUGAGCAGAGCUAAAGUACAUACUAAUCGAGAAACAGCCCAGACUUUCACUGAUGGAUUAGCUGAACUGUCAAAACGAAGCUAUGAGGAGGAUGCAAACGAGACUGCCACCCAGAGCCAAAAGCCUAACUGCCACAUCAGAGCAAAUGAGCCAACAUUUGAGGCGGUGGCUCAGUUGGAUAAAAAACUUCAGGGGGACACCGCAGACAGACGAACUAGAAUUGCCAGGGAGCUCCUGACAAGUGAGAAGAACUAUGUACACAUGCUGGAAACUGUGAGGGAUGUUUAUGUUACACCACUGAAAGCAGCAUUAGCAUCCAAUCGAGCCAUCCUAAGUCAUGCUAAUGUUCAAAUCAUCUUCUCUGAUAUCCUGGAUGUCUUACAACUCAAUAGGCAGUUUUUAAAUGAGCUGACAGAAAGACUUCGGGAAUGGAGUCCAUCCCAGUGCUUGGGUGAAAUAUUCACUCAAUUUGGCUGGCAGCUUCAAACAUAUACAAACUUCUUCAACAACUACACUGUCAUUCUGAAAACCAUUGAUAUGUGCAGAGAGACCAUUCCUUUAUUCCGUGCCUUCCUCAAAAGACACGAUAAGACUGUCGUUACUAACAUGAUGAGCCUACAGGAGCUGCUGCUAUGCCCUUCUAAAAGGUUUGAAGAGUAUCUUAAUCUUCUUUAUGCUCUGAGACUGCACACUCCUUCAGAACACGCUGACCAUGAAGAUUUGACUGCUGCAAUCAAGAUGAUGAAACAAUACAAGGAAUACAUAGAUCAGCUAAAACUGAACAUGAGCAAAGAUGAGCAAAUGCUAAAUGCACAAAGAAUCAUCCAGGGAUGUCCUAAUUUAUUAGAAGCCAACAGGUACCUGAUUAGAAUACAAGAUGUAACCCAGUUUAGCUGCUGUUCUGAGGAAAUCUGUGUUUCAUUCAGGGUCUAUGAACACAUCAGCAAUCUUAGCCUUUUUCUUUUCAACGAUGCACUUGUUAUUUCAAACCGUAGCAUCUCUUAUAUGCCAUUUGAACGGACCCCAAAAACAACUUACCAGUUCUUGGCAGCAGUAGCUCUUCACAGGCUUGUUGUAGAAGACAUUCCACGUUCAAAAUAUAUCAAGAAUGCAUUUAUUCUACAAGGCCCAAAACGCCAAUGGAUUUGUUCUAUAGAGGAUGAAGAUGAUAAAUUUACAUGGCUGUCUGCACUGCAAAGUGCAAUCAGCUGUAGCAUUGAGAAGAAAUGAGAUUCAUCUUAGUGUUUAGGAUGCCCAACUUCUGUAGUAUGUGCUAAUUAUUUGUGAACAGAUAUUUUGUGCAGUUUCCUACUCCGAGAAACUUUUGUUCAAAUUCUGCAUCAUUACCAAAAAGUUAGCAUUCCUUUUGAUAGAGUACUAUCAUGUGUGCGCCUCAGACUGCAGGAACUUAUGGUAGAAUCAACACUCGUCAACCUGUAGCUGAAACUGAAAUCACCCAACAAGGACUGCUGUAGAAGAUGGGGAAGCUAAGGCACAAAGAGGUAACACGACUUACUAAAGGUCUUCCAGUUGGUGAGUGGCAGAUCCAGGAAUGGAACCCAAUCUGAGUCCCAGUCCAGUGCUUUAGCUACUGCACCACACUGCAUCCCUUAUGCUUGUACUCUAGAAACGAGACAUAGCUUGUGCGACUAUAUUAACAAAAAUGAAGGCUAGCCUCACUUUACCAAGAAAAUCCAAGAUGGCCAAAAGCUGAAAACUAGAAGAACAAAGGAUUCUGCUGCUCCUUGUGACUGCCAUCAAAAAGGUUUAAAAAUAUAUUCCUGCAGAUUUGUGAGAGUUACAAGUUCCAGUUAAAGAUGAAUCAACAAAAUUAAAAUAUUGUGCUGUUUUAUUGGUGUAAAAAUCACACAAUUGCUAGUUCUGAUUCUGCUGAGAUACAUCCAUGCGAUUUAACAUCUAUGAUCCCACAGCCAGAAGAAGCCAUUAAAUAGAAUAUCUGCUGUUAGUCAGCAAUUAAUGCAAAUUUACAUAUGAGAUCAAAAGGUGUGUAUCAUACAAUAUACAACAAAACCUAAUACAGUACAUCAACCCCAAUAACAGGAUACACUCAGGGAAUUUUUUGUUAAUAGUGAAACCUGUCUAUAUGCCAGAAGAAUAAGGCCUGGAGACAAGGUAACAGAAGGUAACCCAGAAGUCCUAAGAAACAAACUGUUUAUUUUUUGGCUGGGAAUUAGAAUUUCAGAGAGGUAUUGACACAUUACUUGACAGUACAAUCUGUUACAGUAAAGACUGGUGGAUAUGAUCUGUUAAUAAAAGGUAAUGUGUGAAGCAUGCAUUUACAGGUAGUGCUCAGGAAAUGUGCAAUCAAUACAUUGGGAAUUAACACCCAAUUCUUUUUCACAGAAGAGAUGACCGAGGAAGGUCUGUUACGUAUAGUAUCAGUUGUACCAUAGGUCAUUUAUAUGCAUGCGGCUGAAUCAAGAUCAUGAGUGGAAAAAUGUGAACACCUGGCAAUCUGGUCACAUACUGCACAAAGUAUGAAACAAAGAUGAAAUAACCAAUUUUAGAUGAUAUGGCAAGGUAGCCUGCAAGAAACUCUGUGGCAGCCUGAGGGAGCUACUUUAUUG